GAGUAUAGUCGUAACAUGGUUUUAGUAGGUGAUGCUGCGGAAUGAUCAUCAACGUGAUAUAGGUUGAUGCUGGAGUAUACAUGUGCUCGCCUUUAUUAUUAUUAUUCUCAACCCCUGUGCACCUUAUCAAAGUUAGUAGUGGUAGUGGUAGGAUGACCAUUCGCGAACACUUUGACUUUAUUAUAAAUGCCUUUCAUUGUCUUUGUGAAUGUGUCAUCAAAUGAUUCUUAUACAACUUUCAACAACGGAUCUCUUGGCUCUCGCAUCGAUGAAGAACGCAGCGAAAUGCGAUAAGUAAUGUGAAUUGCAGAAUUCAGUGAAUCAUCGAAUCUUUGAACGCACCUUGCGCCCCUUGGUAUUCCGAGGGGCAUGCCUGUUUGAGUGUCAUGUUCUUCUCAAUUCUCUUAUUCUUAAUUGGGUAAGAGACUUGGACUUGGAGGUUAUAAUUGCUGGUGUAUAUCUAUAUUGGCUCCUCUAAAAUGCAUUAGCUAGACUUUGGUUUGCAUUGCUCGGUGUCAUAGUUCUUUCUAUAUUAACUCACUGGCGCAGUGCUUGCUUAGACGGGUCUGCUUCAAAUGGUCCGCUUUUGGACAGGUGCUUUGUUCACCUUAUAUGUGUUAUUGACCUCAAAUCAGGUAGGACACCCCAGUUC
rnacentral:rRNA from 1 species